rnacentral:rRNA from 1 species
GACGAACGCUGGCGGCGUGCCUAAUACAUGCAAGUAGAACGCUGAAGGAGGAGCUUGCUUCUCCGGAUGAGUUGCGAACGGGUGAGUAACGCGUAGGUAACCUGCCUGGUAGCGGGGGAUAACUAUUGGAAACGAUAGCUAAUACCGCAUAACAGUAGAUGUUGCAUGACAUUUGCUUAAAAGGUGCAAUUGCAUCACUACCAGAUGGACCUGCGUUGUAUUAGCUAGUUGGUGAGGUAACGGCUCACCAAGGCGACGAUACAUAGCCGACCUGAGAGGGUGAUCGGCCACACUGGGACUGAGACACGGCCCAGACUCCUACGGGAGGCAGCAGUAGGGAAUCUUCGGCAAUGGACGGAAGUCUGACCGAGCAACGCCGCGUGAGUGAAGAAGGUUUUCGGAUCGUAAAGCUCUGUUGUAGGAGAAGAACGAGUGUGAGAGUGGAAAGUUCACACUGUGACGGUAUCUUACCAGAAAGGGACGGCUAACUACGU